rnacentral:lncRNA from 1 species
GGCAACUUCCCCCCACCCCAAGAUGGCAGAUUUGCUGAUCUAAUCAACUACUUCCUGAAUUUAAACAACACACAAAACCUACGUAGAGGGAUCUCUGAGAAAAUUUAAUAUUUACUGUUAUUAUUAUUAAAAAUUCAAGAUUCUUCUCCAGUCCUUGCUGAGCGAGCUUCAUGCCCAGACAACUUCUGAGACUGCAAAUAGGGAUGACUUCCUCUCCUGCAAUGGAAAUGGUCAGAAAUACCUUGUGUUCAAGCUGUAUGUACCCACUUUGAAAGGCUAAAGAUUUAAUGGCAUAUAUGUUGAGAAAAGGUGACUGGAAGAACAAAAAUGAAAGAUCAGCAAUCUUAUUCCCUGUUCACUUUUCACCACUCUCAGCUGAAGAAAGUUAUUAUCACCCAGGAGUGCUUAGGAGUGAUGUAGGAGCUGAAAAUGUUCACACUUACCCAACGAAUACACUGGCUUUUGCUUAGGACAAAACAGAGUGGGAAGCUAAUUCUUCAGCAGCUUUAAACAUAACAGAGAGACUCAUGAGAACAGAAACAAAAACUUUGCAAAUGUUAAAGGAAUAAAGCAUCUGCCAGAGACUUUUAACA